rnacentral:rRNA from 1 species
CCUACGGGUGGCAGCAGUGAGGAAUAUUGGUCAAUGGACGAGAGUCUGAACCAGCCAAGUAGCGUGCAGGAUGACUGCCCUAUGGGUUGUAAACUUCUUUUAUACAGGAAUAAAACGCGGCACGUGUGCCUUUUUGUAUGUACUUUAUGAAUAAGGAUCGGCUAACUCCGUGCCAGCAGCCGCGGUAAUACGGAGGAUCCGAGCGUUAUCCGGAUUUAUUGGGUUUAAAGGGAGCGUAGAUGGGUUGUUAAGUCAGUUGUGAAAGUUUGCGGCUCAACCGUAAAAUUGCAAUUGAUACUGGCAGUCUUGAGUACAGUUGAGGUAGGCGGAAUUCGUGGUGUAGCGGUGAAAUGCUUAGAUAUAACGAAGAACCCCGAUUGCGAAGGCAGCUUACUAAACUGUGACUGACAUUGAUGCUCGAAAGUGUGGGUAUCAAACAGGAUUAGAUACCCCAGUAGUC